rnacentral:lncRNA from 1 species
GAAAACUUUGAAAUUAAAAAACCUCCCCUUGUCGCAGCUCUCCAUCUCCUUUUCGAAACACUUUUUCUUGCUUGAGUUCUGUUUUCAGUCUUACGGCGGCUGAUUUCGUGGGUUAAUGGAUCUUAAUAUUUUGUGCUGGUGUGCUUCGGAUGUUGGAAGAUGUCCAUAUUUGGAUGGGUUCAGAUCUGGUGUGCUUCGUCUUUAUUAUUAUCUCUCUUUAAUCUUUUUUCUCUCCUUCUUCAUUCUCCCAACACUGGAAGUUUGAGGUAAAGUAAAACAAAAGACCAAACACCAUUUCUUCUUCUUCUUCUUUAUGGUAUGAACGGCUUUUGGGGGGCUGGACUAGGGUUUUUUGGUUCAACCAAAAAGGAGGAAAGCAGGGAAAGGAUUUCAUUUUUCAGUUGAAUAGAGACCCAUUUGAUUUUCUGCAUCAUUUGAGGAUUUUUUGGUGAGUAAUUGAAACCCUAGAUCUUACUUAUUUUAUCGGAAUUCUAGUUGUUUCUUGUAUAAUUUCUUGAAUUUUGACAUUUUUAGUCAUCUAUAUGUGCUUUGAUUAUUUUUGUUUUGUGGCUGAUAUUCGCAAGAGGAAGGGCUUGAAGCAACAGAUGACACCACUAUCCGAGUUUGAGGAUAAGCUGUAAGUCAUUGAUUGGUGACAGAUACCUUAAUAUGGUGGGCAGUAUAAUUUUUGUCUCGUUUGCUUGUUUACAUUUUUGAAGUUAAUUUUCCAAUGCGUCAUGUACUCGGUACUUCAUUUCUUUUUUAAUGAGUUGUUGCCCAGGCACUCUAUUCUGUUUUGUUUUUAGAUGUGGUUAUAAGGACAAGAAUGUUGUGUUAAAUUUCAAUGUUUAGUCGUCUCUGUGUUUUGGAAUUGGUUGUGCCAGUUAUUUGUUCAAGUAUGUUAGUAGAUGCUCUGUUAAUAGCUGUGUGCAGAAUCUGCAUAUUAGCUCCUCUAGUAUUCCUGUUUCCAUAGAUUGCUUGUUGCAGGACCUCUAUCUAAGAUGAAACUACGAUUUGGUCCAAGGUGUCCCCUGUCGACCAAUAUGAACAUAGAUAUUGAAUACACUGCCUUCCACCGAUUCUUAUAUCAAAUGCGUCAUUAAUUUAGUGAUUCUACCUAAUUUCUACUAUUCCCCUCUUCUUUUUAUGCUCUCCAGGUUCUAAAAAGUCUGCUGCUGGCAGCUCCUCUUUGAUCAAAUCAAACAACUCCUCUUUACUCAAGCCCAACAAGCGACGGCCAUAAACUAGGACCAACUUUGUGAGUUUGUCUCUGAUCCCUACUGGCAUUCGUUACUUCUA